rnacentral:rRNA from 1 species
CAGUGGCGAACGGGUGAGUAACACGUGGGCAAUCUGCCCCGCACUCUGGAACAACACCGGGAAACCGGUGCUAAUACCGGAUACGACACGCUCCCGCAUGGGGUGCGUGUGGAAAGCUCCGGCGGUGCGGGAUGAGCCUGCGGCCUAUCAGCUUGUUGGUGGGGUAAUGGCCUACCAAGGCGACGACGGGUAGCCGGCCUGAGAGGGCGACCGGCCACACUGGGACUGAGACACGGCCCAGACUCCUACGGGAGGCAGCAGUGGGGAAUAUUGCACAAUGGGCGCAAGCCUGAUGCAGCGACGCCGCGUGAGGGAUGAAUGCCUUCGGGUUGUAAACCUCUUUCAGCAGGGAAGAAGCGAAAGUGACGGUACCUGCAGAAGAAGCGCCGGCUAACUACGUGCCAGCAGCCGCGGUAAUACGUAGGGCGCAAGCAUUGUCCGGAAUUAUUGGGCGUAAAGAGCUCGUAGGCGGCCUGUCACGUCGGAUGUGAAAGCCCGGGGCUUAACCCCGGGUCUGCAUUCGAUACGGGCAGGCUAGAGUGUGGUAGGGGAGAUCGGAAUUCCU